rnacentral:piRNA from 1 species
AUUGGACACAGUUCAUUUCUGAAAGAGC